rnacentral:rRNA from 1 species
AGGGCACACGGAGGAUGCCUAGGUAAUAACAGCCGAUGAAGGACGUGAUAAGCUGCGAUAAGUCAGGUCGAGAUGCACAUAAUCAAUGACACCUGAAUCUCCGAAUGGGGCAACCCGCAUACUUGAAGAGUAUGCACGAAAGUGGUAAGCCUGCGAACUGAAACAUCUAAGUAGCAGGAGGAAAAGAAAGUAAAAACGAUUCCCUAAGUAGCGGCGAGCGAACGGGGAAAAGCCUAAACCGUGCCAGUGUCAAGCGGACAGCGUUGCUGGCACGGGGUUGCGGGACUUCCAUUAACGGAUUGUCAUAAUGUUUAAUCUGUAUAUGUGUAAGUGGAAUCAGCUGGGAAGCUGAACCAGAGAAGGUGAAAGUCCUGUAGAACAUAAAGCAUAUAUGGAGACUGGAAGCACCCGAGUAGCGUCAGGCACGAGGAAUCUGGCGUGAAUCAGCGUGGACCAAAUCACGUAAGGCUAAAUACUGUUGUUGACCGAUAGUGAAGAGUACCGUGAGGGAAAGGUGAAAAGAACCCUGAGCAAGGGAGUGAAACAGAAUUUGAAACCGUGUGCUUACAAACGGUAGGAGCACAUUAUGUGUGACUGCGUGGAUUUUGGUUAAUCAUCCUGCGAGUUAUGGCUGGUGGCAAGGUUAAUAGACGGAGCCGAAGGGAAACCAAGUCUUAAUAGGGCGUCAAGUCGCCAGUCAUAGACGCGAAACCUAGUGAUCUAGGCCUGUCCAGGCUGAAGCUGAGGUAAGACUCAGUGGAGGGCCGAACUCACCGCCGUUGAAAAGUUGGGAGAUGAGAUAGGUCUAGGGGUGAAAAGCCAAUCGAACUAGGAGAUAGCUCGUUCUCUCCGAAAUGCAUUUAGGUGCAGCCUUAAUUUUAAGAUAUGUGGGGGUAGAGCACUGUAUGAUCUAGGGGGCGUAUUGCUUACCGAAAUCAAGCAAACUACGAAUACCAUAUAUUAAUGAUUAGGAGUGAGUCUAUGGAUGAUAAGGUCCGUGGACAAAAGGGGAACAGCCCAGACCACCAGCUAAGGUCCCUAAUUAUGUCUAAGUGGGAAAGGAGGUGGAUAUUCACAGACAACCAGGAGGUUGGCUUAGAAGCAGCCAUACCUUAAAAGAGUGCGUAAUAGCUCACUGGUCGAGAGUAUCUGCGCCGAAGAUGUAACGGGGCUAAAGACAUAAACCGAAGCUGUGGAAGCGGUUUUGCCGCUUGGUAGGAGAGCGUUCUGUAGGUCUAUGAAGGCCGGCUGUAAGGCCGGCUGGAGACAUCAGAAGCGAGAAUGCAGGAAUGAGUAGCGAGAAGGAGGGUGAGAAUCCCUCCGGCCGGAAGUCCAAGGUUUCCGGGGGAAGGUUCGUCCGCCCCGGGGAAGUCGGGACCUAAGCGUAAGCAGAGAUGUGAUUGCGAAUGGUAAAUAGGUUAAUAUUCCUAUACCACUAUCAGUCGUUUGAGUGAUGGAGUGACGCAGUAAGGUAUGUGAGAAGGCUGUCGGAUUAGCCUUUCUAAGGGCGUAGCUUGGACACGCAGGUAAAUCCGCGUGUCUAUAGGUGAGACCUGAUGGGUAAGUGCUUUUGCAUAAGUCACAGAUCCUACACUGCCAAGAAAAACUUCUAACAAGACUCGUUAGUGCCCGUACCCUAAACCGACACAGGUGGACAGAGUGAGAAACUUAAGGCCGACAGGAUAACUCUAGCUAAGGAACUCUGCAAAAUAGCCCCGUAACUUCGGGAGAAGGGGUGCCUGACAUACCUGAAGGAGAGAAGCGCUCCCAGGGGAAACAGGCCGCAGUGAAGAGUCUCAAGCAACUGUUUACCAAAAACACAGGUCUAUGCUAAGCUGAAAGGCGACGUAUAUGGGCUGACACCUGCCCAGUGCCGGAAGGUUAAGAGGAGGAGUGAGAGCUCCGAUUUGAAGCCCCGGUGAACGGCGGCCGUAACUAUAACGGUCCUAAGGUAGCGAAAUUCCUUGUCGGGUAAGUUCCGACCUGCACGAAUGGUGAAAUGAUUUGAGAGCUGUCUUGGCUGGAGACCUGGUGAAGUUGUAAUGCCGGUGAAGAUACCGGCUACCUGCAGUAGGACGGAAAGACCCCGUGGAGCUUUACUGUAGCUUGGCAUUGGGUU